rnacentral:rRNA from 1 species
CGGGGUGAGUAAUGUCUGGGAAACUGCCUGAUGGAGGGGGGUAACUACUGGAAACGGUAGCUAAUACCGCAUAAUGUCGCAAGACCAAAGUGGGGGACCUUCGGGCCUCUUGCCAUCGGAUGUGCCCAGAUGGGAUUAGCUAGUAGGUGGGGUAACGGCUCACCUAGGCGACGAUCCCUAGCUGGUCUGAGAGGAUGACCAGCCACACUGGAACUGAGACACGGUCCAG